rnacentral:rRNA from 1 species
GAUGAACGCUAGCGGCAGGCUUAAUACAUGCAAGUCGAGGGGCAGCAGGACUGUAGCAAUACAGUUGCUGGCGACCGGCAAACGGGUGCGGAACACGUACGCAACCUUCCUUUAAGUGAGGGAUAGCCCAGGGAAACUUGGAUAAAUACCUCGUAAUAUUUGAGAGUGGCAUCACUUUCUAAUUAUAGCUCCGGCGCUUAAAGAUGGGCGUGCGACUGAUUAGGUAGUUGGCGGGGUAACGGCCCACCAAGCCUGCGAUCAGUAACUGGUGUGAGAGCACGACCAGUCACACGGGCACUGAGACACGGGCCCGACUCCUACGGGAGGCAGCAGUAAGGAAUAUUGGUCAAUGGACGCAAGUCUGAACCAGCCAUGCCGCGUGGAGGAUGAAGGUCCUCUGGAUUGUAAACUUCUUUUAUCUGGGAAGAAACCCAUAUUUUCUAGUGUGGUUGACGGUACCAGAUGAAUAAGCACCGGCUAACUCCGUGCCAGCAGCCGCAGUAACAC